AGUGAACGCUGGCGGUAGGCCUAACACAUGCAAGUCGAACGGCAGCACAGUAAGAGCUUGCUCUUACGGGUGGCGAGUGGCGGACGGGUGAGGAAUACAUCGGAAUCUACUUUUUCGUGGGGGAUAACGUAGGGAAACUUACGCUAAUACCGCAUACGACCUACGGGUGAAAGCAGGGGAUCUUCGGACCUUGCGCGAUUGAAUGAGCCGAUUUCGGAUUAGCUAGUUGGCGGGGUAAAGGCCCACCAAGGCGACGAUCCGUAGCUGGUCUGAGAGGAUGAUCAGCAACACUGGAACUGAGACACGGUCCAGACUCCUACGGGAGGCAGCAGUGGGGAAUAUUGGACAAUGGGCGCAAGCCUGAUCCAGCCAUACCGCGUGGGUGAAGAAGGCCUUCGGGUUGUAAAGCCCUUUUGUUGGGAAAGAAAAGCAGCAGGUUAAUACCCCGCUGUUCUGACGGUACCCAAAGAAUAAGCACCGGCUAACUUCGU
rnacentral:rRNA from 1 species